ensembl:lncRNA MIR9-1HG MIR9-1 host gene
CGGAGCCGGAGCGCGCCGGGGCCAGAGCCGCGGCAGAGGCAGAGGAGGGAGCUAGGAGGUGAGACCCGCUCCACCCUGCUCGCCUAGGCUCGGCGGAGGCUAAGAGCAGGGCAGCCUCCUCUGCCCGGCGCCCGCUGAGCCCCGGCAUCUGGAACUCAGGGCCCUGGCGCUCCAGGGGCGGGAACUGGCCGGGAGGACCGCGCGGGAGAGCACGGAUGGGCACCCUGGGCUCGAUACCAAAAAGAAGAAUGUACUUCAUCUGGUUGGGCUGGAUUCCCUCUGAUAAGCCUUCCCAGUUGACUGAAAGAUGAGGCUAGGCUCUAGCAAGUUGAAGUCAAACCAGCUCCUUCAAGAAGCUUUGAGCAGAAUGAAGUGGGGAGGACCCAGCUUCCAGCCCAGGAAGCCCACUGUACCUGGAGCCAUCUGGGAUAAGACUUUGACCCAUGACUCCCAUAUCCACAGCCUGUCCAUCCUAGCCCAUCCCAGUUUAUCCUGUAUCAUUUGAGCUGGGAUUCCCACAUCCUCUGAGUUGGAAGUCCCAUCUCAAGUCUUCAAUAAAGACUCUUGAAUAUUGAAUCACAUUAA